rnacentral:rRNA from 1 species
UACGUAGGGGGCAAGCGUUAUCCGGAUUUACUGGGUGUAAAGGGAGCGUAGGCCGGUCUUUAAGCGUGCCGUGAAAUUUUGUGGCUCAACCAUGAGAGUGCGGCGCGAACUGGAGACCUUGAGUGCGCGGAAGGCAGGCGGAAUUCGUGGUGUAGCGGUGAAAUGCUUAGAUAUCACGAAGAACCCCGAUUGCGAAGGCAGCCUGCCGCAGCGUUACUGACGCUGAAGCUCGAAAGCGCGGGUAUCGAACAGG